GAAUUCUACUUUUGGAUCUGCAGGCAUCAGGAGAGAAGAGAUUCUGGGACUAGCUUGGGCUUUUGAAAUCCCAAAGCCCACCCCCAGUGACA